UUUAGGUCAAAUUUAGCGGCAAAUUUAGGGGUCUGAGUUUUCGUCAUUACGAAAACUAAGACCCCCACCAAACCAAUCUGUAAAAUUGCUACAAAGUCGAAUUACGACCGUUCAAAUACUCUAAUCCGUAACACAACUAAAAACUACUAUCAUACGCGUGUUGAUCUACGAUCCGCUAACAAUUUGCAGACAGGCUUUAAAAAGAGGAUAAAAGCCAUAGACUACGUAUUUAUUGUACACUGAAAAUACGCCUUACCCCUAUUUUUCUUUAAUUAUGUUCAUUAUUCUUUAAAUCAUAAAAUUGGCUUUCCAUUGGAGAUGGAUGUUUUUUUCGUGUCUCUGCGAUCGAGAUAGCGUUACCAGUAACUAUCACCCAAGUGGGUUUAUGUCCAGCGGUUGUCGUAGACAAGCGGGGAGCGCGCGCGGAGGGGAGCGGGGGAGGAAAUUGCUAGUCUCGUGGGGUCACAAAACCUCUCUCGCGAUCGCGAGUCGAUGUUAUUUUUUUAUUUGCCCUUUAAAAACCGACGAUACCGCGGGUAGCGCGCGGCUAGGAAGGGGUACACGAGUCAUAAUUUCUACGGUGGGUAUCUACUGUUUGCGUCUCCGAGUUUGGGCUCCUUUUUAUAAAGAAUUUCUUCUCAAAAUAGUACCCCGUUCGAGCAGUAGCUUAAUUUUUAGCAACCCAUUCUAGAAUUUAAUAAUAUUUGAAAGCCCUCCCAUUGGUGAUGACAAACUUAAGUUGUAAAUAGUUGAACCCUAGAUUUACUGUAUUUUUCUUGGUUUUUCGUUGGGUUAUCGGCUAAACAUCACGCACAAAAAAGGAUUUUCAAGCUCUUUUUCUGGUUAGGCCUUAACCAAAAACAAAAUAUUAUUUAGAAUGGCGGGAAAAGAAGUAUCUCCUGCAAAGAGUACACCUCCUGACCCUCAAAUUAAAUUAAGCAAAAAUCACACAAUGAAUGAAUUUCAACAAGUGUCAUGCCGUUGGAAAAAAAAAUUUCAACAGACUGAACAAUGCUAUAAUCAGCAGCAAUAGUUUCGUAAUUCUAUUUUCGAAAUUGCGAAAACUAAGAAUCUUAAAUUUACCGUUAAAUUUGACCUAAAACUCGGUGGAAAGGAUCGGACUGGAGAUAAUUUGUCAGACUAGACCUACGUUGGACACAAUUUGACUUUGUAUUUCGACGGAUUCGAUUUUAGGGGGUCUUAGUUUUCGUAUCUCGAAAACCAGGUGGUGUACGCACUACGAUCGCGUUGCAUUGUGGAUGGAUAAUUUUCAAGAUGGCGGCGGAAAGGCGCGAGUUGGGCCCAUCAAAGGUAUCUGUGACUGCUUACACCAGAGGCUGUCGUUGGUCUUGUUGCUAAUCUCAAGAGCAGGGAGCUGCGUCGUGUUGAAUACAACAGAUGAUGUUGAAGGGAUUAGAGCCACUAUGCAUGAGAUGGUUGGAGAAGCAUUUGAUGUUAAGCAGUUCACUGAUGAGCAGCCCAAAAAUUCUGAAUGAAUUUAAUAAGCGCAUCGAUCCAGAUUUAUCUUUUUUUACUGGACUGGAGCAAAUGAACGUUUCAGUGAAUUUGAGCUGCCAUCAUUCAAACAGCCAUCUGGAGAAGGCAUCACUGAAAGACUUAAAUAAUUUUCAUAUCACGUGGAGGUGACCCAGGUGUAUUUGUUUUGGAGCGAGCUUCCAUGCCACAGACAGGACAGUUAACUGCCAGAGCAAAAUACCACAGAGCCCCUGUGGAAUUACCCCCUGCUCUAAUGCAAAGGGCACAAUAACUUCAAAAUAUGUAGUCCCUAAAAAUAUCCAUACCUCCCCAGGGAACUGACAACAGACAACUGCCUUUUUCCACGAAAACAUCAAACUUACUAGUUAGGUACAUUGUGUAAGCCCUAAAAAAUGUUCCUUCUAUUUGUAAAUUAAAAUCCUAUAAUUCUUUACUA